AGAGUUUGAUCCUGGCUCAGGAUGAACGCUGGCGGCGUGCUUAACACAUGCAAGUCGAACGAACCUUCGGGUUAGUGGCGGACGGGUGAGUAACGCGUGAGAAUCUGCCCUCAGGAGGGGGAUAACGGUUGGAAACGACCGCUAAUACCCCAUAUGCCUACUGGUGAAACGAAUUUCGCCUGAGGAUGAGCUCGCGUCUGAUUAGCUAGUUGGUGAGGUAAUGGCUCACCAAGGCUUCGAUCAGUAGCUGGUCUGAGAGGAUGAUCAGCCACACUGGGACUGAGACACGGCCCAGACUCCUACGGGAGGCAGCAGUGGGGAAUUUUCCGCAAUGGGCGAAAGCCUGACGGAGCAACGCCGCGUGAGGGACGAAGGCCUCUGGGCUGUAAACCUCUUUUCUCAAGGAAGAAGAUAUGACGGUACUUGAGGAAUAAGCCACGGCUAAUUCCGUGCCAGCAGCCGCGGUAAUACGGGAGUGGCAAGCGUUAUCCGGAAUUAUUGGGCGUAAAGCGUCCGCAGGCGGCUUUUCAAGUCUGCUGUUAAAGCGUGGAGCUUAACUCCAUCAUGGCAGUGGAAACUGAAAGGCUUGAGUAUGGUAGGGGCAGAGGGAAUUCCCGGUGUAGCGGUGAAAUGCGUAGAUAUCGGGAAGAACACCAGUGGCGAAGGCGCUCUGCUGGGCCAUUACUGACGCUCAUGGACGAAAGCCAGGGGAGCGAAAGGGAUUAGAUACCCCUGUAGUCCUGGCCGUAAACGAUGAACACUAGGUGUCGGGGGAAUCGACCCCUUCGGUGUCGUAGCUAACGCGUUAAGUGUUCCGCCUGGGGAGUACGCACGCAAGUGUGAAACUCAAAGGAAUUGACGGGGGCCCGCACAAGCGGUGGAGUAUGUGGUUUAAUUCGAUGCAACGCGAAGAACCUUACCAGGGUUUGACAUCCUGCGAACCUCUUAGAAAUUUGAGGGUGCCUUCGGGAAUGCAGUGACAGGUGGUGCAUGGCUGUCGUCAGCUCGUGUCGUGAGAUGUUGGGUUAAGUCCCGCAACGAGCGCAACCCACGUUUUUAGUUGCCAGCAUUUAGUUGGGCACUCUAGAAAGACCGCCGGUGAUAAACCGGAGGAAGGUGUGGAUGACGUCAAGUCAUCAUGCCCCUUACACCCUGGGCUACACACGUACUACAAUGCUACGGACAAAGGGCAGCAAACUCGCGAGAGCUAGCAAAUCCCAUAAACCGUGGCUCAGUUCAGAUCGUAGGCUGCAACUCGCCUACGUGAAGUAGGAAUCGCUAGUAAUCGCAGGUCAGCAUACUGCGGUGAAUACGUUCCCGGGCCUUGUACACACCGCCCGUCACACCAUGGAAGUUGGCCAUGCCCGAAGUCGUUACUCCAACCCUUGUGGAGGAGGACGCCGAAGGUGGGGCUAAUGACUGGGGUGAAGUCGUAACAAGGUAGCCGUACCGGAAGGUGCGGCUG
rnacentral:rRNA from 4 species